rnacentral:rRNA from 1 species
AUUGAACGCUGGCGGCAUGCCUUACACAUGCAAGUCGAACGGCAGCGGGGGAGAAGCUUGCUUUUCCUGCCGGCGAGUGGCGAACGGGUGAGUAAUACAUCGGAACGUGCCCUGUAGUGGGGGAUAACUAGUCGAAAGAUUAGCUAAUACCGCAUCAGACCUGAGGGUGAAAGUGGGGAAGCGCAAAGGCUCAGGCUAUAGGACAGGCCGAUGUCUGAUUAGCUAGUUGGGGGGGUAAAGGCCUACCAAGGCAACGAUCAGUAGCUGGUCUGAGAGGACGAUCAGCCACACUGGGACUGAGACACGGCCCAGACUCCUACGGGAGGCAGCAGUGGGGAAUUUUGGACAAUGGGCGAAAGCCUGAUCCAGCAAUGCCGCGUGUGUGAAGAAGGCCUUCGGGUUGUAAAGCACUUUUGUCCGGAAAGAAAUGGCUCUGGUUAAUACCUGGGGUCGAUGACGGUACCGGAAGAAUAAGGACCGGCUAACUACGUGCCAGCAGCCGCAGUAA